ACUCCUACGGGAGGCAGCAGUGGGAAUAUUGCACAAUGGGGGAAAGCCCUCGAUGCAGCCAUGCCGCGUGUGUGAAGAAGGCCUUCGGGUUGUAAAGCACUUUCAGCAGUGAGGAAGGUAGUGUAGUUAAUAGCUGCAUUAUUUGACGUUAGCUGCAGAAGAAGCACCGGCUAACUCCGUGCCAGCAGCCGCGGUAAUACGGAGGGUGCGAGCGUUAAUCGGAAUUACUGGGCGUAAAGCGUACGCAGGCGGUUUGUUAAGCGAGAUGUGAAAG
rnacentral:rRNA from 1 species